UGGUUUUUUUUUUUGCUUUGUAGAGCAGUGAGAAUUUUUAUUGUUGCAGGUGUAUGGCUUGGCACGAAAAUAUACAGGCAUCCCACUAUCGUCGCGAAUUUCGUGAUGAAGUCAUAGCCACUCAUUUAACUAGAAUUUAAGGACAAUUUUGACCCGCAAACAAACUUCUCCUCCGCCAUCUGAUCUGACAAAGUGUAAAUACGCGGAGAAAUAGCACAGCGUAUAUAAAGACGCAGCAACGAGUGAAUCUCACUGCAGCCAUGGCGAUCAUCGUUCAAAUGUCCAUGCUUUGUUGGUUGCUGCUGUCGGUGUCCUGCAUCCCGGGAAGCGAUGCGGCUGCACUACCUCCAAUCAGCUCUCCUAUUGAAGUAAGCACCGGACCUCUUCGUGUGCCACGGAAGCCGGUAACAACGAACAAACCAGGCCCGAUUCGGAUUAUUCCACUUUAAGCAGGCUAGGCUUCAAGAAAAUGAACAGCCUAGAGGCAGCAGCACCGUGUGAAAUGCAAUAUUUGGAAGACGUUGUGCCGCAGUUUGCUACGAACGUGCAACAAUAAAGGUGUCGCUGCCAUUACUGCCAAC